UGGGGAAUAUUGGACAAUGGGCGCAAGCCUGAUCCAGCCAUGCCGCGUGGGUGAAGAAGGCCUUCGGGUUGUAAAGCCCUUUUGUUGGGAAAGAAAAGCAUUCGGUUAAUACCCGGGUGUCAUGACGGUACCCAAAGAAUAAGCACCGGCUAACUUCGUGCCAGCAGCCGCGGUAAUACGAAGGGUGCAAGCGUUACUCGGAAUUACUGGGCGUAAAGCGUGCGUAGGUGGUUUGUUAAGUCAGAUGUGAAAGCCCUGGGCUCAACCUGGGAACUGCAUUUGAUACUGGCAGGCUAGAGUGCGGUAGAGGAUAGCGGAAUUCCUGGUGUAGCAGUGAAAUGCGUAGAGAUCAGGAGGAACAUCCGUGGCGAAGGCGGCUAUCUGGGCCAGCACUGACACUGAGGCACGAAAGCGUGGGGAGCA
rnacentral:rRNA from 1 species